GUGAGCCUGUGUCAAGACAAGGGUCUCCUGCCCUCGGGAAGGGCUCCCAGAAGAAGGACAUGCUUGAGGAACUAGCUUGUAGAGUCCCAGCCUGCAGGUGAAGGCAUGGCUUCCAGCUGUAUCAUCGAGGAUAUGCCAUUCACCCUCUCAGAUCCCAGCAGGAAAAAACGGAUGGUGGACUAUGGAAUUAUACUAACAAGUUGCAAAUAAUGCACAGAUCAGAAGUCCCAUGCCAGCACACCAGGAGACACUUGAAGUCAGUCACAAAGAUUCCUCUUGAUGUGAAUGACACCCACCCUGUUACCCAAGGGACAGGUGAUACCACAAGAAUCGUACUUGUCCCGGUCUUCAACGAGAUCACAGCAUCUUUGGAGAAAGCAGAUUUGUAAGAACUAUCCACGAUCAGGCCUGCCAUCGGGAGGCUAAUGAGGAGGCUGGGGGAGACCUGGGAGCAGGGAUGAGCACCCAGGAGUGGCUCUGUAUCAACAACCAGAUAUCCCGAGUUUCUGAGGAUGCUCUGUGUCUUGCAUUAAUGAAAUGCUAAGUCUUGUGCUGAAAGUAAAAUAUCUAACAGAA
rnacentral:lncRNA from 12 species